rnacentral:rRNA from 1 species
GACGAACGCUGGCGGCGUGCUUAACACAUGCAAGUCGAACGGAAAGGCCUCUUUCGGGGGGUACUCGAGUGGCGAACGGGUGAGUAACACGUGAGUAACCUGCCCUUGACUUUGGGAUAACUUCAUGAAACUGGGGCUAAUACCGGAUAGGAGCUCCUGCUGCAUGGUGGGGGUUGGAAAGUUUCGGCGGUUGGGGAUGGACUCGCGGCUUAUCAGCUUGUUGGUGGGGUAGUGGCUUACCAAGGCUUUGACGGGUAGCCGGCCUGAGAGGGUGACCGGCCACAUUGGGACUGAGAUACGGCCCAGACUGCUACGGGAGGCAGCAGUGGGGAAGAUUGAACAAGGGGUGGAAGCCUGAUGCAGCAACGCCGUGUGCGGGAUGACGGCCUUCGGGUUGUAAACCGCUUUCGCUCAUGACGAAGCUUUGUGUGACGGUAGUGGGUAAAGAAGCACCGGCUAACUACGUG